UGCACCUUUCAAGUGAGUGGCGAACGCCCGAGUAACACGUGGACAACCUGCCUCAAGGCUGGGGAUAACACUUGGAAACAGAUGCUAAUACCGAAUAAAACUUAGUGUCGCAUGACACAAAGUUAAAAGGCGCUUCGGCGUCACCUAGAGAUGGAUCCGCGGUGCAUUAGUUAGUUGGUGGGGUAAAGGCCUACCAAGACAAUGAUGCAUAGCCGAGUUGAGAGACUGAUCGGCCACAUUGGGACUGAGACACGGCCCAAACUCCUACGGGAGGCUGCAGUAGGGAAUCUUCCACAAUGGGCGAAAGCCUGAUGGAGCAACGCCGCGUGUGUGAUGAAGGCUUUCGGGUCGUAAAGCACUGUUGUAUGGGAAGAACAGCUAGAAUAGGAAAUGAUUUUAGUUUGACGGUACCAUACCAGAAAGGGACGGCUAAAUACGUGCCAGCAGCCGCGGUAAUACGUAUGUCCCGAGCGUUAUCCGGAUUUAUUGGGCGUAAAGCGAGCGCAGACGGUUUAUUAAGUCUGAUGUGAAAGCCCGGAGCUCAACUCCGGAAUGGCAUUGGAAACUGGUUAACUUGAGUGCAGUAGAGGUAAGUGGAACUCCAUGUGUAGCGGUGGAAUGCGUAGAUAUAUGGAAGAACACCAGUGGCGAAGGCGGCUUACUGGACUGCAACUGACGUUGAGGCUCGAAAGUGUGGGUAGCAAACAGGAUUAGAUACCCUGGUAGUCCACACCGUAAACGAUGAACACUAGGUGUUAGGAGGUUUCCGCCUCUUAGUGCCGAAGCUAACGCAUUAA
rnacentral:rRNA from 1 species